CAGAAGAGAAAUGAAGCCUGGGUAAUGAAUGCCAUCACUGCAGACGAGUUAUUAUGCCUUUGUAUUAUUGGUCUUAUUAUUCCUUGAUGGUGGAGAACAAAAUACAAUGGGUCAUAGAGGAGCUCUUGGUUGAGUAGAGAUAAGAUGUAAGUCCUAGCUUGUUUAUAGGUCACAUGAUUGGGAUCUGCAGGAUCUACAGCAGUCAGAAUACCUGAGGUCCAUCCCAUUUUGUCUGCAGAAUAUUGUGCGCAGAGAUGUGGAGUCCCUUGCUCAAAAUCAAAGGGCUCUAAGGCAGCUCAGUUGUAUCAAGUCGAUCCACAGUUUCCAAAAUCAGAGGUAUGGCCUUCAGAAAAGACUGCAAAAUGAUGGAGUGCACCGAAGGCAAAUGGAAGCUAUAAUGGGAAGGCAUUUUGGAGCAGAGUCCAAAUGCAAAUUGGUUGUUACGGAAACUAUUCAGAUCCAUCUGGUGCCUGCAUGUGAUGAAUACUGGAAAUCUGAUCAAUGGAUAUGCGUUUUGGCAAUGGUAAAGGAACGUAAAACAGGACAAGUCAGGCCACCAGAGUGUGGGUGUUGGACACAGCCCUUCUUGCAAAUGUGUAUCCAAUACUCACACCAUGUUGUCAUCAGGGCGGAAGGAAAGCAGACCUUUAGUGUGAAAUAAGGUGUGACUAUCAAAGAC
ensembl:lncRNA AABR07049491.1